GACGAACGCUGGCGGCGUGCUUAACACAUGCAAGUCGAGCGGAAAGGCCACUUCGUUGGUACUCUAGCGGCGAACGGGUGAGUAACACGUGCGUAAUCUGCCCCUCCCUUUGGGAUAGCCACCGCAAACGGUGACUAAUACCGGAAAUGACCAUAUUUCUCAUGGCGUUUGUUGGAUAGUGUUGCGGUGUUGGCUUUGCUCGCGGCCUAUCAGCUUGAUGGCGUGGGAAGGGCUGCCGAUUGCUUCGACGGGUAGCCGGCCUGAGAGGGCGGACGGUCACAAUGGGCCUGAGACACGGACCAGAAUCGUACGGGCGGCAGCAGUGGGGAGUAUUGCACAAUGGGCCGACGCCUGAGCCAGCAACGCCGCGUGAGGGAUGACGGCCUUCGGGUUGUAAACCUCUGUCAGUACAGACGAAGAGGAAGUGACGGUAGCUACAGAAGAAGCACCGGCUAACUACGUG
rnacentral:rRNA from 1 species